GUAAAAUUUUCCGUCAGCCACCAGAGGGUGCCCACAGAGCUCUCUGAAAAUGACCAAAACCUGAAGAAUUAAGAGGAGAAAGAAGAUUUCCAGUGCAUGUAAGACCAAGACAAAACACAGCUCGCCCACAACUGGCUUGAACAGUUGCACAGGUCGGCUCAGGAGCUGUGAGUUUGCAGGGCAAGAAGAGCCAGAGUGGGAGUGAUAGAAAUUACCUGAAUUUUAGCUAAACAAGUUGCUUCUUGACUAUAAAUUGUCAAUUGCAAUAGCGCUUUGAGGAUUGGUCCAGGGCGCAUUUUCAUUCGCUGGCAAAACUCCCUUCCUUACCCUUUCCCCAUCCGUGGGUAUCAAGGAAAUGCAAAUACAUGUAAAUAAUAGCCUAAGCCACAGGCUUCUUGGAGGCCAAGGCUGCUGCUACUGCUGCUGUUUAAAAAAGUCCUACAAUGAGAGGGAAAGGACAGAAAUUUUCUGUCACUGCUCCUGCACUAGGGUGAAGCCUCAGAGAGAAGAAAUGGAAAAACCAUGGCUCUCUGAAGAGAUGGCCUGUGUGGAGCAUGCCUGGAAUGAGAGGAGCAGAGGGCCAGCUCCCACCCUUUCCCCAGCAGGGUCUGGCAAGCCGGCUGUGUCUAGCAUUCCUGUUUCUCCACGGCCAGACACAGUGACUGACACACAAAGUCAGCCAAGGGCCUUGCCCAAGAGAGGUGCCAAACGAACGAAGUUGAGCCUGAUCGCCUCAGGAGAGCAGAACGACUCGUCAACAAGCCAGUCAGGUCUCUAGAAACCCUUCCAUUAUCAAAAGUACUUCCAGAAGAAUUCUUCACUGUGUCUGCUGUGUUGAAAACAGACUGAGGAGGGUGGAAGGGGCCGAGGCCAGAACCAAGGAGACCACUUCGGAAACUACAGCAAGAAUCCAGACAAGGAUCCUGAGGCCAAAAGAAACUACUUUCUUGUGACUUCCCAGCCAGGUGCUGGCCUCCUUGGCCCUGGUCCUUCGGAAGCGGCACGCUCAUGCCUGCCUCUGCCCUGCUCUCCAGCUGAACCCCAGGCCCCACUUCCAUCUGCGCGUCUUCUUCACUCUCCGCACCUCAGGGUGGAGCCCUCCGGCUGGCGAAAGCCCCCUUUCAAGGUCUCACUCUUCCUCUGUCGCUGGUUUCUCUGAUGUCCCUCCAUGGUUCCGGGCUUCUCUCCAGACUGCAGGCAAAUUCGAACUGUUGACUGUGGUUUCCUUUGGCUGAGAAUCCAUAUUUCCCAAGAAGAGUGCGUCUCAGAGCAACUCUUCAAAGUCUUAGCAGCACAAUACUCACUGGAGAAAAUUUGAAGACAC
rnacentral:lncRNA from 1 species